rnacentral:piRNA from 1 species
UCCUCAUUGUCAGUGGUGAAGCUG